UACGGGGGGGCAAGCGUUGUUCGGAAUUACUGGGCGUAAAGGGCUCGUAGGCGGCCAACUAAGUCAGACGUGAAAUCCCUCGGCUUAACCGGGGAACUGCAUCUGAUACUGGAUGGCUUGAGUUCGGGAGAGGGAUGCGGAAUUCCAGGUGUAGCGGUGGAAAUGCGUAGAUAUCUGGAGGAACACCGGUGGCGAAGGCGGCAUCCUGGACCGACACUGACGCUGA
rnacentral:rRNA from 1 species